rnacentral:rRNA from 1 species
ACACUCCUACGGGAGGCAGCAGUGGGGAAUCUUGCGCAAUGGGCGAAAGCCUGACGCAGCCAUGCCGCGUGAAUGAUGAAGGUCUUAGGAUUGUAAAAUUCUUUCACCGGGGACGAUAAUGACGGUACCCGGAGAAGAAGCCCCGGCUAACUUCGUGCCAGCAGCCGCGGUAAUACGAAGGGGGCUAGCGUUGCUCGGAAUUACUGGGCGUAAAGGGAGCGUAGGCGGACAUUUAAGUCAGGGGUGAAAUCCCGGGGCUCAACCUCGGAAUUGCCUUUGAUACUGGGUGUCUUGAGUAUGAGAGAGGUGUGUGGAACUCCGAGUGUAGAGGUGAAAUUCGUAGAUAUUCGGAAGAACACCAGUGGCGAAGGCGACACACUGGCUCAUUACUGACGCUGAGGCUCGAAAGCGUGGGGAGCAAACAGGAUUAGAAACCCUGGUAGUCCCAUG